rnacentral:rRNA from 1 species
AACGAACGCUGGCGGCAGGCCUAACACAUGCAAGUCGAGCGCGCCCUUCGGGGUGAGCGGCGGACGGGUGAGUAACGCGUGGGAACGUGCCCUUUGCUACGGAAUAGUCUCGGGAAACUGGGGGUAAUACCGUAUGAGCCCUUCGGGGGAAAGAUUUAUCGGCAAAGGAUCGGCCCGCGUUGGAUUAGGUAGUUGGUGGGGUAAUGGCUCACCAAGCCGACGAUCCAUAGCUGGUUUGAGAGGAUGAUCAGCCACACUGGGACUGAGACACGGCCCAGACUCCUACGGGAGGCAGCAGUGGGGAAUCUUAGACAAUGGGCGCAAGCCUGAUCUAGCCAUGCCGCGUGAGCGAUGAAAGGCCUUAGGGUUUGUAAAGCUCUUUCGUGGGGGAAGAUAAUGACUGUACCCCCAAAGAAGAAGCCCGGCUAACUCCGUGCCAGCAGCCGCGG